UACGUAGGGUGCAAGCGUUGUUCGGAUUUACUGGGCGUAAAGGGCGCGUAGGCGGUCAGCACAAGUCAGUUGUGAAAUCUCCGGGCUUAACUCGGAAAGGUCAACUGAUACUGUGCGACUAGAGUGCAGAAGGGGCAACUGGAAUUCUCGGUGUAGCGGUGAAAUGCGUAGAUAUCGAGAGGAACACCUGCGGCGAAGGCGGGUUGCUGGGCUGACACUGACGCUGAUGCGCGAAAGCCAGGGGAGCGAACGGG
rnacentral:rRNA from 1 species